rnacentral:rRNA from 1 species
AACGAACGCUGGCGGCGUGCCUAACACAUGCAAGUCGAACGGGAAAACCCGCAAGGGUGAGUACAGUGGCGCACGGGUGCGUAACACGUGGGUAAUCUGCCCAGAAGCCCGGAAUAACUCCCCGAAAGGGGUGCUAAUGCCGGAUGAGACCACGGGGACUUCGGUUCCUGGGGGAAAAGGUGGCCUCUGUAUACAAGCUAUCACUUCUGGAUGAGCCCGCGGCCCAUCAGCUAGUUGGCGGGGUAAUGGCCCACCAAGGCUACGACGGGUAGCUGGUCUGAGAGGACGAUCAGCCACACUGGAAAUGAGACACGGUCCAGACUCCUACGGGAGGCAGCAGUGGGGAAUCUUGCGCAAUGGGCGAAAGCCUGACGCAGCAACGCCGCGUGUGUGAUGAAGGUCUUCGGAUCGUAAAGCACUGUCGGGAGGGACGAAUAAGGGCCGGGUGAACAAUCCGGUUCGACGACGGUACCUCCAGAGGAAGCACCGGCUAACUCUGUGCCAGCAGCCGCCGCCGUA